rnacentral:lncRNA from 1 species
CCCAUCCUUCCCUCCACCCUCCUAAGCACCCUCUCCCCUUCCAUCCUCCCACCCCUCCCUCCCUUUCUCCCUCUCCAUCUCCCCAUCCUUUCCUCUGCUCCCUCCAUCACCCCCAUGCCCCCUCCCUCCCUCUUUUUCUCCCUCCCUCUCGAUUUGUCCCUCUCCCCUCUCUCCUCCGACCCUCUCUCCCACUGCCUCCUUCCCCCCAUCCCCACCUUUCCUUCACCUGGCUCAGGAUGUGACAUGAGUUGGGGGGGGCUCAGUUCUUGUGAGACAAUUCUGGCGGGGCUCAGCCCCCAUGACAUGUAACUGGGGGGUCCCAGACCCCACGACAUCAGUUGGGGGGGGGGGGUCUCAGACCCCAUUACUUCAACCUGGGGGCUCUCAGCCCCCCUUCCAUGAGUCCGGGGGUUCUGAAACCCUCUGCCGUGAGCUUUAGGUGGGCUCUCUGCCCCCACACCACGAGUCUGGGCAGGACAGAGGUUGCAGCUCAUUGAGCCCAGGAUGGAAACACCCCCAUCCCCAUGCCAGGGUGGGGGACACCCCCGGCCCCCCCCGGCCCCCCACACCCUGCGGUCACCACGCAGCAGUGGGGCCGGGGGCUGAGCAGCCCUUCAAAGGGAGAGAACCAUCCGCAAAUGGUUUCCAUGUGUGUGGGGGGAGUGGGGGCACUGGGAGGGGGGAGUGCUGGGAACGUGGCACUGGGAAUGGGGACUGGGAAUACUGGGGAUGGAGAAUGGGAGCACCCAGAAUGGGAACUGGGAGGGCUGGGGACGGGAACUGGAAAUACUGGGAAUGGACAAUGGGAGAAUCCAGAAUGGGGACUGGGAGCACUGGGAAUGGGGAGCACUGGGGGCACUGGGAAUGGGGACUGGGGGCACUGGGAAUGGGGAGCACUGGGGUGGUCCCCGUGCCCCUUUAUCCAUCCCAAGGCCCCCAUUCCUCAUCCCAGUACCCCCCCCCCAGCAUCCAGACUGGUCCCUGUGCCCCCAGCCCCGCUCCCAGUGCCCUCUAUGGUCCGUGUCCACACAGCUGUGCCUCAGUCCCUGUCCUGCGUCCCUAAUACUGAUGUGGGAUGAGGACAGGGAUGAGGAGGGGGACGUGGGCAAGGGUGAAGAUGGGGUCUAGGGACAGGGAUGGGGACAGGAGCAGGACAGGGACGGGACAGGAAUGGGACAGAUGGGAUGGGACAAUAAUGGGACAGGACAAGGACAGGGAUGGGACAGCCGGCACAUGGCAGGGCCAGCAGUAGCCGCCAGGCGGCAGCAGAGAACCGCAACCGG